GGGGUCACCGAUGUCGUUUACGAGUUAAAUUACCUUAAAGCCAAAAUAUUCGCCAUUUUGAAACGUCAUUGUUGCCAUAGCAACGGCAGUUGCGUAACUUAUGUGAAAAAGUUCAAACCCUUUAUAUGUUGUUUUACAUCAGUAAGAUACUUUUUGUUUUUCAACAAGUAAUAAUUCUCCAAAAAUACGGAUCUAAAUCGUGAAUUUUCCAUUUUAAACAACUAUAUCGAGCCACCUUAUUAAAUCCUUUAUUCCGGUGUCCCAGGAAAUAUGGCCCCUCUUCGAAAAUCCCCCCUCCCUCCUUCAGGACCGAACGAUUAGAAGCAGAU